rnacentral:rRNA from 1 species
UACGGGGGGAGCAAGCGUUGUUCGGAUUUAUUGGGCGUAAAGAGCUCGUAGGCGGCUUGUUGCGUCGACUGUGAAAACCCGCGGCUUAACCGCGGGCUUGCAGUUGAUACGGGCAGGCUAGAGUUCGGUAGGGGAGACUGGAAUUCCUGGUGUAGCGGUGAAAUGCGCAGAUAUCUGGAGGAACACCGGUGGCGAAGGCGGCAUCCUGGACCAACACUGACACUGAGGAGCGAAAGCCAGGGGAGCAAACGGG